rnacentral:rRNA from 1 species
UACGGGGGGGGCAAGCGUUGUUCGGAAUUACUGGGCGUAAAGGGCUCGUAGGUGGCCAACUAAGUCAGACGUGAAAUCCCUCGGCUUAACCGGGGAACUGCGUCUGAUACUGGAUGGCUUGAGUUCGGGAGAGGGAUGCGGAAUUCCAGGUGUAGCGGUGAAAUGCGUAGAUAUCUGGAGGAACACCGGUGGCGAAGGCGGCAUCCUGGACCGGACACUGACACUGAGGAGCGAAAGCCAGGGGAGCAA